rnacentral:rRNA from 1 species
CCUACGGGAGGCUGCAGUAAGGGAUAUUGGUCAAUGGGGGAAACCCUGAACCAGCAACGCCGCGUGAGGGAAGACGGUUUUCGGAUUGUAAACCUCUGUCCUCUGUGAAGAUGAUGACGGUAGCAGAGGAGGAAGCUCCGGCUAACUACGUGCCAGCAGCCGCGGUAAUACGUAGGGAGCGAGCGUGGUCCGGAUUUACUGGGUGUAAAGGGUGCGUAGGCGGAUCGUUAAGUCAGUGGUCAAAUUGAGGGGCUCAACCCCUUCCCGCCAUUGAAACUGGCGUUCUUGAGUGGAGGAGAAGUAUGCGGAAUGCGUGGUGUAGCGGUGAAAUGCAUAGAUAUCACGCAGAACCCCGAGUGCGAAGGCAGCAUGCCGGCUUCCGACUGACGCUGAAGCACGAAAGCGUGGGGAUCGAACAGGAUUAGAUACCCCAGUAGUC